ACCUGUCUGCCUGUAUCGCCCCGGUUGGGAGUGUUUUUUCCCUACGCGUUUGCAGCCGGGAUCUGCCUCUGGCCGUGGCGUGCAUGCCCGCGAGUCGGGAAGCCCAAUUCGGUCAAGUGGAACCCACCUACUUAAAAGUAGGGGCUCAAACAUCUCAACCACGACUGGGCGGGGGUC
rnacentral:other from 1 species